rnacentral:rRNA from 1 species
GAUGAACGCUGGCGGCGUGCCUAAUACAUGCAAGUCGAGCGAGCAGACGAGGUGCUUGUUCCUCUUACGUUAGCGGCGGACGGGUGAGUAACACGUGGGUAACCUACCUAUAAGCGUGGGAUAACUUCGGGAAACCGGUGCUAAUACCGCAUAAAAUCUUGAAACACAUGGUUUAAUAGUGAAAGACGGAUUUGCUUUACCUUAUAGAGGGAUCCGCUCCGCUUUGGCUAGUGGGUAAGGUAACGCCUUACCAAGGCAACGAUCCUUGGCCGACCUGAGGGGGUGAUCGGCCACAUUGGAACUGGAACACGCACCAGCCUCCUACGGGAGGCGCCAUAAGGGAUCCUUCCGCAAUGGGCGAAGUCUUGACGGGGCACGCCCGCGUGAGUGAUGAGGGUCUUGGGUUCUUAAACCUCUGUUAUUAGGGAGGAACAAAUGUGUAAGGAAAUAUGCACGUAUUGACGGUAACUAAUCAGAAAGCCACGGCUAACUACGUG